rnacentral:rRNA from 1 species
AUACGGAGGAUCCGAGCGUUAUCCGGAUUUAUUGGGUUUAAAGGGUGCGCAGGCGGCCAUUUAAGUCAGCGGUUAAAUCGUGGGGCUCAACCCCAUUCUGCCGUUGAUACUGGGUGGCUAGAUUGCGGUCGAGGUUGGCGGAAUUCGUUGUGUAGCGGUGAAAUGCAUAGAUAUGACGAAGAACACCGAUUGCGUAGGCAGCUGACCAGAUCGCAAAUGACGCUCAUGCACGAAAGUGCGGGGAUCGAACAGGAUUAGAUACCCUGGUAGUCCGCACAGUAAACGAUGAAUACUUGUUUUCGGCGAUAUAAUGUCGGAGGCAAAGCGAAAGCGAUAAGUAUUCCACCUGGGGAGUACGCCGGCAACGGUGAAACUCAAAUGAAUUGACGGGG